ACAUGAAGGUUCCCCUGAAACAACCACAAAUGUGCAGCUUCCCAGAAAAUAUGAGGAAAACUAAGCUAAAGGAAGUGAAGCUGGAAUUGGAGAGUUAAGAUUUCUGAUGAAUGACAGACUUCCAGUGGUACCAAUUAACCCUCAGCUAAUUGUUUUAAACCGGUUGUGUAAAACACGGCUUCUUGUAACAUAAUUAUUACUUCUUGGUCGUGGUGCUUUUCUGUCAUCUGUGCAGUGUGACCCCAUUGAUUCCCAAGCAGCUAUAUUUAGCUUCCAGCUCAAAAUGAGAGGACAGUACAAAUAUUUGAGAGUAAGGAAUGAGAUCCCUCAGAUUUAAAGGAACACAAACAUCUCAUCCUAUUGCUUAGAGAUCGGCUCUCUUGAGGCGUAUGUCAGAGGACCACUCCUGUUUAAACAACUCUCUAUGUGUAAUCUGUAUUUAAAAAUAGGUGUGAAAAAGUGUUUGCAUAACGUAGCAUGGGCUGCUCUGAACAUCAGCUCUUGAAUGGUAUUUUUCUUGCAAAGCUGAGAAAUUGUUUUUCUUUUUAGUAGACAGGGGAAAUUAGAACUGGACCAGUGUAUGUAGAAGGUCGGGCUACAGCGACAGAACACCAGCUCCCCAACUUCCAACCAGCACCUCAGAUGCAGGAGUUGGAGUUAGAAGAUUCAGACAUCAAGUGAAACAGUGAAAGAUGAUAAGAAAACUCUUCAUUCUCACAAGGCCUGAAAUUGGAAAUUAUUUAAAACCUAACAAACCCCAGAGUUUAUCCCUGUUCUUUGAGUAGCAACAGAAGUAUGGCUGUCAUGGUUUGACACAUCAAUGAAGAACAGCCUCUGCUCUGCAGCAGGUACUCAAGUGGAACUUUUGCAAGUGGGCUCUCAUCAGGAGUGAAACACUGGCUGCUGACUCUGCUGCUUUUGCUCACAGACUGCUGCCUUUAGGAACCAGCCAUCUCUUCAGGGACUACUUUAAAUCCCAGAAUGUUCAAGAGCCAUCACUGUACAAACAGAAGCUCCAACUGAACGAAACCAGAAGAAGUGGAUAUGGCAAAUUCUCUGGUCCAAGUGGUGAUAUUAAUCUGCAGUAG
rnacentral:lncRNA from 1 species